rnacentral:rRNA from 1 species
AGUGAACGCUGGCGGUAGGCCUAACACAUGCAAGUCGAACGGCAGCACAGUAAGAGCUUGCUCUUACGGGUGGCGAGUGGCGGACGGGUGAGGAAUACAUCGGAAUCUACUUUUUCGUGGGGGAUAACGUAGGGAAACUUACGCUAAUACCGCAUACGACCUACGGGUGAAAGCAGGGGAUCUUCGGACCUUGCGCGAUUGAAUGAGCCGAUGUCGGAUUAGCUAGUUGGCGGGGUAAAGGCCCACCAAGGCGACGAUCCGUAGCUGGCCUGAGAGGAUGAUCAGCCACACUGGAACUGAGACACGGUCCAGACUCCUACGGGAGGCAGCAGUGGGGAAUAUUGGACAAUGGGCGCAAGCCUGAUCCAGCCAUACCGCGUGGGUGAAGAAGGCCUUCGGGUUGUAAAGCCCUUUUGUUGGGAAAGAAAAGCAGCAGGUUAAUACCCCGCUGUUCUGACGGUACCCAAAGAAUAAGCACCGGCUAACUGCGU